UGACCGUGACAAGGUAGCAUAAUCAUUUGUCUUUUAAUUAAAGGCUUGUAUGAAUGGUUGGAUGAGAUAUAAUCUAUUUUUAUUUAAUUAAAAAUGAAUUUUAAUUUUUAGUAAAAAUGCUAAAAUAAAAAAUAUAGACGAGAAGACCCUAUAAAUCUUUAUUAUUUUUUUAUUAAUUUAUUAAUAGAAUAUUAAAUUUAUUAGUAUAAAAAUAAUUUUAUUGGGGUGAUAAUGAAAUUUAAUAAACUUUUAUUUUAUUUUAUAAAUAUAAUUAAUUUAAUGAUCCAUUUUUAAUGAUUAUAAAAUUAAGUUACUUUAGGGAUAACAGCGUAAUUAUUUUAAAGAGUUCAUAUCGAUAAAAUAGUUUGCGACCUCGAUGUUGAAUUAAGAGUAAGUUACCAAG
rnacentral:rRNA from 1 species